rnacentral:rRNA from 1 species
UACGGGGGGGGCAAGCGUUGUUCGGAAUUACUGGGCGUAAAGGGCUCGUAGGUGGCCAACUAAGUCAGACGUGAAAUCCCUCAGCUUAACUGGGGAACUGCGUCUGAUACUGGAUGGCUUGAGUUUGGGAGAGGGAUGCGGAAUUCCAGGUGUAGCGGUGAAAUGCGUAGAUAUCGGGAAGAACACCCGUGGCGAAGGCGGCUCUCUGGGACGGUACUGACGCUGAGACGCGAAAGCGUGGGGAGCGAACAGG